ensembl:snRNA U6 U6 spliceosomal RNA
GUGCUCGAUUUGGCAGCACAUAUCCUAAAACUGGAAUGGCACGGACAAGAUUAGCAUGGCUCCUCCACAAGGGUGGCACACAAAUUCAUGAAGUAUUCCAUGCUACA